rnacentral:rRNA from 1 species
GAACGGGUGAGUAACACGUGGGAAACCUACCUCUUAGCAGGGGAUAACAUUUGGAAACAGAUGCUAAUACCGUAUAACAAUGACAACCGCAUGGUUGUUAUUUAAAAGAUGGUUCUGCUAUCACUAAGAGAUGGUCCCGCGGUGCAUUAGCUAGUUGGUAAGGUAAUGGCUUACCAAGGCGAUGAUGCAUAGCCGAGUUGAGAGACUGAUCGGCCACAAUGGGACUGAGACACGGCCCAUACUCCUACGGGAGGCAGCAGUAGGGAAUCUUCCACAAUGGGCGAAAGCCUGAUGGAGCAACGCCGCGUGUGUGAUGAAGGGUUUCGGCUCGUAAAACACUGUUGUAAGAGAAGAAUGACAUUGAGAGUAACUGUUCAAUGUGUGACGGUAUCUUACCAGAAAGGAACGGCUAAAUACGUGCCAGCAGCCGCGGUAAUACGUAUGUUCCAAGCGUUAUCCGGAUUUAUUGGGCGUAAAGCGAGCGCAGACGGUUAUUUAAGUCUGAAGUGAAAGCCCUCAGCUCAACUGAGGAAUUGCUUUGGAAACUGGAUGACUUGAGUGCAGUAGAGGAAAGUGGAACUCCAUGUGUAGCGGUGAAAUGCGUAGAUAUAUGGAAGAACACCAGUGGCGAAAGCGGCUUUCUGGACUGUAACUGACGUUGAGGCUCGAAAGUGUGGGUAGCAAACAGGAUUAGAUACCCUGGUAGUCCACACCGUAAACGAUGAGUGCUAGGUGUUUGAGGGUUUCCGCCCUUAAGUGCC